UACGAAGGUGGCAAGCGUUGUUCGGAUUUACUGGGCGUACAGGGAGCGUAGGCGGUUGGGUAAGCCCUCCGUGAAAUCUCCGGGCCUAACCCGGAAAGUGCGGAGGGGACUGCUCGGCUAGAGGAUGGGAGAGGAGCGCGGAAUUCCCGGUGUAGCGGUGAAAUGCGUAGAGAUCGGGAGGAAGGCCGGUGGCGAAGGCGGCGCUCUGGAACAUUUCUGACGCUGAGGCUCGAAAGCGUGGGGAGCAAACAGGAUUAGAUACCCUGGUAGUCCACGCCUUAAACGAUGAAUACUAAGUGUCGGCGGGUUACCGCCGGUGCCGCAGCUAACGCAUUAAGUAUUCCGCCUGGGAAGUACGGCCGCAAGGUUG
rnacentral:rRNA from 1 species